AACGAACGCUGGCGGCAGGCUUAGCACAUGCAAGUCGAACGCAUCGCAAGAUGAGUGGCAGACGGGUGAGUAACGCGUGGGAAUCUACCCAGUUCUACGGAACAACAGUUGGAAACGACUGCUAAUACCGUAUACGCCCUACGGGGGAAAGAUUUAUCGGAAUUGGAUGAGCCCGCGUAAGAUUAGCUAGUUGGUGGGGUAAUGGCCUACCAAGGCGACGAUCUUUAGCUGGUCUGAGAGGAUGAUCAGCCACACUGGGACUGAGACACGGCCCAGACUCCUACGGGAGGCAGCAGUGGGGAAUAUUGGACAAUGGGCGCAAGCCUGAUCCAGCCAUGCCGCGUGAGUGAUGAAGGCCUUAGGGUUGUAAAGCUCUUUCACCGAUGAAGAUAAUGACGGUAGUCGGAGAAGAAGCCCCGGCUAACUUCGUGCCAGCCGCCGCGGUAAUAC
rnacentral:rRNA from 1 species